GCGCCGGUGGUGUAAUGGCGUAGAGCAUUCCCGCCCGGUCAGAGGGAGGUGCGGGUUCGAGUCUCGCUUGGCGCU
rnacentral:tRNA from 1 species